AUUGAACGCCGGCGGCAUGCCUUACACAUGCAAGUCGAACGGCAGCACGGGUGCUUGCACCUGGUGGCGAGUGGCGAACGGGUGAGUAAUACAUCGGAACGUACCUUAUCGUGGGGGAUAACGCAGCGAAAGCUGUGCUAAUACCGCAUACGCCCUGAGGGGGAAAGCGGGGGAUCGCAAGACCUCGCGCGAUUAGAGCGGCCGAUGCCUGAUUAGCUUGUUGGUGGGGUAAAAGCCCACCAAGGCGACGAUCAGUAGCUGGUCUGAGAGGACGAUCAGCCACACUGGGACUGAGACACGGCCCAACCUCCUAGGGGAGGCAGCAGGGGGGAAUUUUGGACAAUGGGGGCAACCCUGAUCCAGCAAUGCCGCGUGAGUGAAGAAGGCCUUCGGGUUGUAAAGCUCUUUUGUCAGGGAAGAAACACCGGCUCUAACACAGUCCGGGAAUGACGGUACCUGAAGAAUAAGCACCGGCUAACUACGUGCCAGCCGCCGCAGUAA
rnacentral:rRNA from 1 species